GUGUGUGUGUGUGUGUGUGUGUGUGUGUGUGUGUGUGUGUGUGUGUGUGUGUGUGUGUGUGUGUGUGUGUGUGUGUGUGUGUGUGUGUGGGUGUGUGUGUGUGUGUGUGUGUGUGUGUGUGUGUGUGUGUGUGUGUGUGUGUGUGUGUGUGUGUGUGUGUGUGUGUGUGUGUGUGUGUGUGUGUGUGUGUGUGUGUGUGUCUGUGUGUGUGCUGGAGUGUGCAUCUGUGUUUGUGUGUGUGUGUGUGUGUGUGUGUGUGUGUGUGUGUGUGUGUGUGUGUGUGUUGAGGUGAUUUGGCUGAAGUCCCUUCGAUGGCCCCUGUGUUUAAUCCUGUUUGUGCAGGGAGCAGGGCUCUGUGCUUAGCCUGAUGCACCACAGUAACCAGAAACAGUUUUCUUCUUUCUUUCUUUCUUUCUUUCUUUUUUUCUUUCUUUCUUUCUUUAGAGUCUUUUAAGUGCUGAUGGACUCGCCACGAGCUACGACUCAAAGGUUGGCGCCUGACAUUAUAAAAUUUAAUUGUGUCCUCCAGCGUCCUAGCAACUCUAGCUAGCCAGGUGAAAACGACCCCGCCGCUGCCAGCCACGAGAUGAAAAAGCGUUAAUCCUCCCCUCUUGUGUCGAUGGUGCCCAACGUCUGAACUCAUGCUGGAAGAGUUGAGAUUUGCAUCUCUCAGCGCUGGGAAGAAGAAAUUCCGGUUCCAACAACAUAAAGCGGUGGUGAGGCCGCUCUACCUGUGAAGGAUCUGAACUUGCACAUCAUAUUUCCACCAGCGACCCCGGGUGUGAGUCACUGUCCUCUCUUACGGUUAAACCAAGGCUUUGUCUCCUCCACUAUAGCUGACUCCACUCCAGCUAUUUGAAUCUUUACUAAUACUGAUGUUGCUAAUGAAUCUAGAUUCAGGAUCAAAUGUUUUUUUGGAAGGUGACAACUUAUUCCUCAUGUCGUGUGGGCAAAAUAAAGAAAAAUACUGAGAUGAACUGCAAUUUCUUUCUGUUGAUUUUUUGGAUGUUGCAGUGUCAGUCAGUGUGUUUGUGGGGUUUGUGUGUGUGUGUGUGUGUGUUUGAGUUUGUGUGUUUGUGUGUUGUAAACAUUAGCGGUAGAGCGAGAGAGUGAUGGAAGGAUGCAGAUGAAAGAGUGAAGAGGAGAAGGCAUGCUCAACGCAGGAUUUGCUUGAUUGAGAGUGAGUCGGAAUGACAGAAAAGAGCGAGUGAGAGAGAGAGAUAGACGGUGAGGGGAGGAGAGAGAGAGAGAGA
ensembl:lncRNA